rnacentral:rRNA from 1 species
CGACUUGGAGGUUGUGCCCUUGAGGCGUGGCUUCCGGAGCUAACGCGUUAAGUCGACCGCCUGGGGAGUACGGCCGCAAGGUUAAAACUCAAAUGAAUUGACGGGGGCCCGCACAAGCGGUGGAGCAUGUGGUUUAAUUCGAUGCAACGCGAAGAACCUUACCUACUCUUGACAUCCAGAGAACUUAGCAGAGAUGCUUUGGCGCCUUCGGGAACUCUGAGACAGGUGCUGCAUGGCUGUCGUCAGCUCGUGUUGUGAAAUGUUGGGUUAAGUCCCGCAACGAGCGCAACCCUUAUCCUUUGUUGCCAGCGGUCCGGCCGGGAACUCAAAGGAGACUGCCAGUGAUAAACUGGAGGAAGGUGGGGAUGACGUCAAGUCAUCAUGGCCCUUACGAGUAGGGCUACACACGUGCUACAAUGGCGCAUACAAAGAGAAGCGACCUCGCGAGAGCAAGCGGACCUCAUAAAGUGCGUCGUAGUCCGGAUUGGAGUCUGCAACUCGACUCCAUGAAGUCGGAAUCGCUAGUAAUCGUAGAUCAGAAUGCUACGGUGAAUACGUUCCCGGGCCUUGUACACACCGCCCGUCACACCAUGGGAGUGGGUUGCAAAAGAAGUAGGUAGCUUAACCUUCGGGAGGGCGCUUACCACUUUGUGAUUCAUGACUGGGGUGAAGUCUUUCCAAGAUCCC